GACUACUUUGAAUUGGUAGAUGAUCUAGAUCUAGUUCCAAGAAGACUGUCUAUUUUACUUAAUUCUCGACUGUAUUUCCUGUAAUCUCCAAUAUUUGACUUCGCAUUUUAAACUUGUCUAAAUUAUGUAACAAUUAAUAUGCUCACCUACUCUGUGAUGCGAAAUUCUUGCAAAUGGUGCUGCCCGUUAUAUAUCUAUGUGUUCUAUAUAUCAUCACAUAGCCUAUUUCUUUUUUCUCUUUGGUUCUGAUAUACAUAAUGCUAUUGGUAAAGAAAUUUUUUUUAUAUACAAACAUUUUA